GGUUGAUCCUGCCAGUAGCCAUAUGCUUGUUUAAAGGAUUAAGCCAUGCAUGUGUAAGUAUUAAUGAGAUUUUAAUAGUGAAACUGCGAAUGGCUCAAUAAAACAGUUAUAGUUUAUUCGAUGAUAUUAAAAAGUUUAUUUGGAAUAACCGCAGUAAUUCUGGGGCUAAUACAUGCUUAAAAGGGAAAUAUUUCUUCAAAGGAUAUUUUACCUGUAUUUAUUAGACUUGAAAAUUGGUAAUGUAGUAAUACAUUUCUUAAAAGGUUGAACCAUAAUAACUAUGUUGUAACAAA
rnacentral:rRNA from 1 species